rnacentral:rRNA from 1 species
UACGUAGGGAGCGAGCGUUAUCCGGAAUUAUUGGGCGUAAAGGGUGCGUAGAUGGUUGAUAUAAGUCUUUUGUAAAAAUGCUAGGCUCAACCUAGUAGGGCAAAAGAUACUGAUGAACUAGAGUACGGCAGAGGCAAGUGGAACUACAUGUGUAGCGGUGAAAUGCGUAGAUAUAAGGAAGAACACCAGUGGCGAAGGCGGAUGACUGGACGGCAACUGACGGUGAGGCGCGAAAGCGUGGGGAGCAAACAGG